AUUCAGCUGACGAGUCCCAAAUAGAAGGAAACGCACAUCUUGGAU
rnacentral:hammerhead_ribozyme from 1 species